rnacentral:rRNA from 1 species
AUUGAACGCUGGCGGCAGGCUUAACACAUGCAAGUCGAGCGGAGCGAGGGUGCUUGCACCUUAGCUUAGCGGCGGACGGGUGAGUAAUGCCUAGGAAUCUGCCUAUUAGUGGGGGACAACAUUCCGAAAGGAAUGCUAAUACCGCAUACGUCCUACGGGGGAAAGCAGGGGAUCUUCGGACCUUGCGCUAAUAGAUGAGCAUAAGUCGGAUUAGCUAGUUGGUGGGGUAAAGGCCUACCAAGGCGACGAUCUGUAGCGGGUCUGAGAGGAUGGUCCGCCACACUGGGACUGAGACACGGCCCAGACUCCUACGGGAGGCAGCAGUGGGGAAUAUUGGACAAUGGGCGGAAGCCUGAUCCAGCCAUGCCGCGUGUGUGAAGAAGGCCUUUUGGUUGUAAAGCACUUUAAGCGAGGAGGAGGCUACUAGUAUUAAUACUACUGGAUAGUGGACGUUACUCGCAGAAUAAGCACCAGCUAACUCUGUGCCAGCAGCCGCCGUAACAC